AGAGAACUGCUGUGACCCGGGUCCUUUCUGUCAUGUCGUCGGGCUGAGGAGAAAAUCACACAAAUAUGGGAAAAUAAUAAUAAUACAUUAAAAAUAUAUAUACAUAUGUAUAAAAAUUACGUAGAAAAGUAUGGUUCGGUGCGGAAAGACGAUGUGACUGAAAGCUGACGGAAAGUGAAGCCGUAAAAUGGCGGCGGAGAGGUGUACGGGGGUUAUAUGAGAGGCGCUGAGAGAGACUUCGGGAGGGUGUAGAGCAGUGGUCCCCAAACUGUGGCCCUCCAGAUGUUGCAAAACUACAACUCCCAGCAUGCCUGGACAGCCGUUGGCUGUCCAGGCAUGAUGGGAAUUGUAGUUUUGCAACAUCUGGAGGGCCACAGUUUGGGGACCACUGGUGUAGAGGGUCAGCAGUUCUGUAGGCGCCGUGUGAUGUGUCCGGUAUGUGGAGAGAAUGACUGCGUUACUGACUAUAAAGAUCAGCGGUUAUGUAUUAUAGAAGUAUGAGAGGAAUUCCCCUAAAUGGGUGUGUCAUGUGACUGGUAUAAAACGCCUGUGAGGAGAGUCACUCCUUCUCCUCAACUUCUUCUACACGUCUGUUGCGGUAAAUGUGAACAAAAAUGUGAGUCCGGGAGAGUAUAGAGGAGAUUGAGAACACGCUCAGCAUCUCAUAUUCAGCACUACCAUUUUAUAUAUAUAUUUUUUUUUUACCCUGAGGACGAAACAGAUAUCAUGG